GGCUUCUGACUUUUUUUGCAUGGCAUUAUUCAAGAACAUAAACAGGUCUACACAGUGAUAACUAACUAUUUGAGUGCUACAUGUGUGUGGACAAUUGAGACACGGGUAUUUUCUGUCAACCAAAGCAAUAGUCCUGACGGUUAAUCAAUUAAGCAACUAUUCUAACAGAGGAAAAUAGCCCAGCUUACGCGACCUACGUGACUGCACAUAUCAGUAUUCUCUGAGAGAUUGUGGCGUCAGCUUGACAGGAUAAAAAACUACUGAUAUCGGCAACCUCAAAAGGAAAGACACGGAUCUGAACACAACCAAAAACAGCUUGCUACGUGUGCUUUUGCCAUUUCAAUUGCUGAGGUGUAUUCCAACCAGCUUUAACUGAACGCACUGACAGGUCCCCAGGCCAAAGGUGCAUUAACAGAGCGCUGCCCCGACCCAGGGUCCUACAGACAUGAUUAUCAGACUGGGCAGACUGACCCCUGGAUACUUCCGUCUUCUCCAAAGACAGGUGGCCGGGGAGGUGCAGACCCAGCCACAUGAUCGUGUGGUCAACCAGAUAGCCAUGAUGCUGGCCAUCAUGGGCCUGAGCCUGUCCUACUACAGUGCCAAGCAGAUGACUGAGAAGGUCCGGAGGCUCCAGCCGGGGCCCGCACACUGAAGAGACCCGAGAGCCCUGGACUCCUUUGAACCCGGAGGGAGGACAAAUCAACACAUGUUUUUGAGCGAGGAGAUGAGAAAACAACUCAAUGAUAGCGUUGUUGUCCAGUACAGUACCUUUUCACACCCUUUCAUUCAUUAUGUUUAGACACUGGGAUCACUCAGGACCCAAAGGGUGUUUGGAGUUCUAUUGUUCAUGUUAUCUUGUGCAUUAAUGUUUGGAGGACCAUGUGGGAGCGGGUGGGGUGGUUGAGAGAACCCCACCUCAGGUUUUGUGCUCUGGAUAAGUCUUUUUUGUGAGCUGGUAAACACAUCCAUCUGCUGUGGUCAGACUGAGCCCCAGCUUCAGUUGUUGUCAAGAUGCAGUCAGCACUGAGCUGGAAGGGGUGCGGGGGACAUAAAUACUGGAGAUUUCACCAGUGGGGUAAAUUAACUUAAAAGUAAUGCCUUUGAAAGGGGAAGAUGCAUCUCUAACAUAGUUAUCUGGUUAUGGCUAGAGGGCAGCCUCUAGUCAGGAGAAAGAAACUUGUUAGCUUUUGAAAUUUCUUGAAUACUUUUUUGCAAUUGACAUUUUGCCGCGCGAACUAGCUGUGGGUUAGACAUGUCUGGUGAGUUUCACAUGUAUUAUCUGUUAAAUGUCGCAAUCGUGCAGUACUGUUAAAACACAGUAUUUUAAUGUUUUAUGAACUAUGAGAGAAAGGGGACUUGAUAUAAAUCACAACCAUUAGUUUUUCUCUUACACAAUGUUUCCACACUUGUCAAUGAAGACUUGUUAAAGGUUUGUGGACUUCUUGAAGUACCUUUUUUAUAUCUGGAAUAACUUGUAGGUAGUAUUACAAAUAUUCUAACUUCAGUAAAUGUAGCAUGGGUUUGCAACUUUUGAUCUCUACACAACUCAAGAUUGCAUCUGUAACAUUUAAAUGUGUCUUAUAGAAUGAUAACAAAGAAUGUACUGUGAUGUUUUAUCAUUAAUGAUGAAAUAAAGCUGUGACUAUUUUUGAAUGAUGAAA